rnacentral:rRNA from 1 species
AUGGCUCUAGUUGGUCAGGCUGCCAUGGUUGCGCAAUUUGCAGGAGUGGACGCCUACGGGCUCAUCAAGAUGAUCGCCGAUGCGACGCAGACGGUCCGGAGGAACAGAGCCACCUGCCUGCAGCUCGCGCGCCGCGCCAAGAUGAUCGGAGACCUGCUGCACCAGCUCCACGCCGCGCAGCUCAUGCAGCAGCCGGAGACGAGGAACCCCAUUGAGCAGCUCGAGGAGACGCUCCGGCGUGCGCUGCUGCUCGUCAGGUCCUGCCAGGGCCGCGGAUACCUCUACCGGUGCUUCAUGGGGGCGCGCCACGCCGACGAGCUCCGCGAGGUGCAGGGUGAGAUCACGUUCUACCUCCAGCUUUUCCCUCUCGUCAGCUACGUCGACACCACCCUCACCUGGGUCAGACUCCUCAACAAAGAUGCUGCUCCUCAACCUCCUUCAUGCAAAGAGGCACCUGUGGUAAGACCAUAUUUUGUGCCGGAUGAAUGGUGCUUGCUAGUUUCUUAUUCAGGAAGUAUACCUUGGCACUGUAUACACAUGGUUUACAUCCUUCUCUUCUUUUUAAUAUCUAUUAACCACCCGUCGGCAAAAUUUAUCUUGGCAUGUAUCUGCAGGAGUUAA